rnacentral:rRNA from 1 species
GACGAACGCUGGCGGCGUGCUUAACACACGCAAGUCGAACGGUGAUCUUGGGAGCUUGCUCUUGGGUGAUCAGUGGCGAACGGGUGAGUAACACGUGAGUAACCUGCCCCUGACUCUGGCAUAACUUCGGGAAACCGAAGCUAAUACCGGAUACGACACAGAGCUGCACGGCUACUGUGUGGAAAGUUUUUAGGUUGGGGAUGGACUCGCGGCCUAUCAGCUUGUUGGUGAGGUGAUGGCUCACCAAGGCGCCGACUGGUAGCCAGCCUGAGGGGGCGGUCGGCCACAAGGGGACUGAGAGACGGCCCAGACUCCUACGGAAGGCAGCAGGGGGGAAUAUUGCACAAUGGGCGAAAGCCUGAUGCAGCGACGCCGCGUGAGGGAUGAAGGCCUUCGGGGUGUAAACUUCUUUCAGUAGGGAAGAAGCGCGAGUGACGGUACCUACAGAAGAAGCACCGGCUAACUACGUGCCAGCCGCCGCUGUAAGAC